AGUGAACGCUGGCGGUAGGCCUAACACAUGCAAGUCGAACGGCAGCACAGUAAGAGCUUGCUCUUACGGGUGGCGAGUGGCGGACGGGUGAGUAAUACAUCGGAAUCUACUUUUUCGUGGGGGAUAACGUAGGGAAACUUACGCUAAUACCGCAUACGACCUACGGGUGAAAGCAGGGGAUCUUCGGACCUUGCGCGAUUGAAUGAGCCGAUGUCGGAUUAGCUAGUUGGCGGGGUAAAGGCCCACCAAGGCGACGAUCCGUAGCUGGUCUGAGAGGAUGAUCAGCAACACGGGAACGGAGACACGGUCCAGAAUCCUACGGGAGGCAGCAGUGGGGAAUAUUGGACAAUGGGCGCAAGCAUGAUCCAGCCAUACCGCGUGGGUGAAGAAGGCCUUCGGGUUGUAAAGCCCUUUUGUUGGGAAAGAAAAGCAGCAGGUUAAUACCCCGCUGUUAUGACGGUACCCAAAGAAUAAGCACCGGCUAACUUCGUG
rnacentral:rRNA from 1 species